UCUUCAAAAACCUAAGCAAAAGCAAUUUCUGGGAAACUCUAGGGUUAUGAUUAAAAUCAGAGCAUUUCAACAAAGAGAGAAAUCAGAGAAUAGAGUUUCAGAGAAGGAGGACAAACACAAAGAUCUUAUCGAGCUUCGUCUCAGAAUGUGGACUACUUCCUCGUCGAGCUCGCCUUAGGGAUACAGCUCAGAGUUUCACUAUUCAGAUCAAGAACUUUGAGUGCAAUAGAUGAGGAUCCAUGCCACACAAAUCGACUGGUAAGCCUCAGAUAUUCUUUCCUUUAUCUCUGUUUUUCUUUAGUUGUUCCUCACAAUCACUCUUUCUAACUCUCUUUUCUUUCUAUUACAUAAACCUCACGAGAACCACUCUGAAUCUCACUCAAGUUUGGAGAUCAAAACACUUCAGGAGCUUCAAGAAUCAGAUAAUCGAACUUCUCUCUGUACCUAGUUUUUUUAUAGACGGUGUUUGUAGCUAGAUCUGACUGGAAAUUGUUUUGAGUAGUUUGUUAUUUUCUGUUUGAGUGUUUCUGCUGAAUGCUAUGUAUAUUGGCUUACCACGUUGUACUUUAAUUUGCUCUGGGUAGUUGAGUUCUUGAUCUGUUGUAACUGAUUUUGUAUGAAAGCUUAUAAGGGAAUUUAAAACAACAAAUUCCACCUAAAUUCUCUUAUAAGUGUCCUAGGUAUAGUGAAACACAAUCCCUGAGGGCCCUUAAUCUGUUAGUAAUGGUUAUCCUCCAUUACUAAUACCUAAUAAGUCCAUACAGUACUUGAACUUAGUUAGGUUUAGGAUCUUAGUACCCAUAUCUGCAGGAUUCUCCUCUAUAGGCACCUUUUCUAUUUUAAUGACUUCUUGUGAUAACUUGUCUCUAAUGAAAUGAUACUUGAUCUCCACAUGUUUUGUUCUAUCAUGGAACAUAGAAUUCUUGUAUAGGUGAAUACAUCUUUGAUUGUCCGAGUAUAUUAUAGGGGUUUCUUCUAGUAACCUUAGUUCUUCCAUUAUCCCGUUUAGCCAUAAAGCCUCCUUAAUAGCCUCUGUAACUGCUACAUAUUCUGACUCUGUUGUAGACAAAGCAACUAUAGGUUGUAGCUGAACUCUCCAACUAACACAGUUAUCUCCCACUAGGAAAUAGUAAGCUGAUGUAGACUUUCUGUGAUCUUUGUCCCCAGCAAAAUCAGCAUCAUUUUAUCCCUCUAUUAGCUUACUGUUAUAGUGCUUAGUGAACCUUAGACCAAUGUCAGUAGUGCCCAGUAGAUACCUGAAUACCCAUUUCAUUGCCCUCCAAUUCUCUAACCCAAGAUUUUCCAUAUACUUACUAAGGACACUUAUAGAGUAAGCUAAAUCCGGUCUUGUGCAUACCAUAAGAUACAUAAUAGAGCCAACUGCAUUUGAGUAGGGUACAUUAUCCAUCUCUUCUCUUUCUGCUUGUGUUUUAGGGCAUUAUUCCUUGCUUAGACAGUAUUGGUUAGUUAUAGGCUGUUUGAUUGUCUUUGCUCCUUUCAUUACAAAUUUCUCUAUGAUUUUCUAUAUGUAGUCUUUCUGAGUUAGGGUUAGGACUCCUUUUUCUAUAUCCAUCUUGAUACAUAUCCCUAGGAUCUUAGUAGCUUCUCCCAGGUCCUUCAUUUCAAAUUCUGACUUAAGCCAUCCUUUCAUGAGUUCUACUUUGGACCUUUCUUUACUAAUAAUGAGCAUGUCAUCUACAUAGAGCAGUAGGUAGAUGACUUCUUCAAUUCUACUUCCUUUCUAGUAGAGGCAGGUAUCAUAAUAGCUCCUGUUGAAUCCUUUCUUACUCAUAAAUUCAUCAAACUUCUUAUUCCAUUGCCUAGGUGAUUGCAUAAGACCAUAUAGGGAUUUAAUUAGCUUGUAUACCUUAUUUUCCUUUCCUUUAACCUAAAAGCCUCUUGGUUGUUCCAUAUAUAUGUCUCUUCUAGUUCACCGUGUAGGAAAGCUGUGGUGACAUCCAUUUGGUCCACUUCCAUGCUAUAUUGAGUAGCUAAUCCCAGCAUAAUCCUUAUAGUCUUAUACUUAACUACUGGGGAGAAAAUUUCUGUGAAGUCUAUGCCUUCCUUUUGGAUAAAACCUUUAACCACUAGGAUUACCUUCAUCUCUGCCUUCCUUCAACUUAUACAACCAUUUACAUGCCACUAUACUUUUGUUUUUAGGUUUAGACACCAAUUUCCAGAUCUGAUUCUUUAUUAGUGAAGCCAUUUCCUCAUUCAUAGCCUUAAUUCAAUGUUUAGAAUCCUUGUCUUUCGUAGCUUCUUCAUAGGUAGAUGGUUAUGUUCUGUUUAACCCCGUAGCACUUACAAAAGCAUAGGCUAGAAUGUCCUCCCAGGCAUUAAAACUGAAUUUCUAAUUUGGCUUUGAUGUCCUUUUAGCUCUAUCUCGGGUUAGUUGAUAAUCAACCAGUGAUUCUGCUUCUGGUUGCUCUUCAUGGUUUGGUUCCACCUGAUCUGUAUUCUCGGGUACCAUUUCUUUUUGUGCUGGUUCAUUUUGUAGUUGCUUCUUGCAUGUUUUCCACCUGAUCAAUGUUAAGUUCUUGUAUUCUAACUUGUGCAUGAUCUGUCUUUGAUUGGUAAUUGAUAGUAGUACUUGCAUGGUUAGUAUCUAAAGACAUAUAUGCACUAAAAAUAAAGUUAGUAGUAAUACAAGGAAAAACAUCUUCUUUAAAAAUCACAUCCCUACUAAUAAUAGUUUUAAGACCAGUUUUUUCUUUUACCCAAAGUCUGUAACCUUUAGUGCCUUCUGGGUAACCUAGAAAAACACAUUUGAGAGUCCUAGGUUCUAGUUUUCCCACUCUGGUGUGCAUAGGCUGCACACCCGAAUUCCUUCAAAUUAGAUAAGAUCGAUAGGUGUCCAGUCCACAUUUCUUCAGGAGUUUUAAACUCUGUGGCACUGGAUGGACAUCUAUUUACUAAGUAGGCUACUGUUAAGAUCGUUUCUCCCCAGAACCCCUUAGCAAGACCAGAUUGCAACAUUAGACAUCUAACUUUAUUCAUUAGGGUCCUAUUCAUUCUUUCUGCUACCCCAUUUUGUUGUGGGGUUAGUCUAACUGUUCUAUGUCCUUGGAUACCUACUUCUCGAAAAUAUGAAUCAAAUUGGUCAUUACAUAAUUCUAGACCAUUAUCAAUUCUUAGGACCUUUUCAGGCCCCCAUAGAUCAGAAUGUACAUAUUCUAGGAUUCUUUUAGUUCUAUGCAUCCCUGUUUUAAAUCUAAGCCUAUGAUGUUUACCAAGAACACAUGAUUCACAAAAGUGAACCUUGCUUACCUUGUCUUUACCUAGUAGAUUCCGUUCACUCAUAAGUUGUAAGCUCUUCUCGCUAAUAUGGCCCAACCUAUCCCGCCGCUAAUAACCUUAACACUAUAGGCGGACUCAGUCCGCCUCUAAUUACACCGCCUCUAAUAUUAAAUUUUCUUAUAGUGUGUAAAUAGGAUAUAUUGUAGAGUUUUAUAUGAUAUGUAAUUUUUUUAGAAAUGAAGAUAAUGAUUCUUUCUAAGUUUGGUUUUGUAUUGACCCAUUGAAUCUGAUUUUUUUUUUUUUUUUUCAGAAUGAGUUUGGCAUGUUUGCUUGCAGCUGGUGACUCAGGCAUUUUUUUUUUCAAAUAGAAAUCUAAGUUUUUUUUCUUAGAAAAGUCUUCGAUAUAUAUUAUAUAUAUAUAUUCUAUAUAAAAAAUGUGUAGAUAAUGGAAAUUCUUGGUUUUAACGGUUUUUUA